CAGUCGCCGCGGUAAUACGAAGGGUGCAAGCGUUAAUCGGAAUUACUGGGCGUAAAGCGUGCGUAGGCGGUUUGUUAAGUCUAUUGUGAAAUCCCCGGGCUCAACCUGGGAAUGGCAGUGGAUACUGGCAAGCUAGAGUGUGUCAGAGGAUGGUGGAAUUCCCGGUGUAGCGGUGAAAUGCGUAGAGAUCGGGAGGAACAUCAGUGGCGAAGGCGGCCAUCUGGGACAACACUGACGCUGAGGCACGAAAGCGUGGGGAGCAAACAGGAUUAGAUACCCCCGUAGUCCCUGUCUCUUAUAC
rnacentral:rRNA from 1 species